GGCAUGCGAGAAUCGUGACCAGGGAACUCCAAGUGCGUAGGGUAAGACCUACGCUUUUCUUGACUCUUCAAAGGUCUUGGAAUAAGGGGUGGGUAAGGACGGUGCCAGCCGCCGCGGUAAUACCGGCGCCUCAAGUGGUAGUCGCUUUUAUUGGGCCUAAAACGUCCGUAGCCGGUCUGGUGCAUUCGUGGGUAAAUCAACCCGCUCAACGGGUUGAAUUCUGCGAGCACGGCCAGACUUGGGACCGGGAGAGGUGUGGGGUACUCUCAGGGUAGGGGUAAAAUCCUGUCAUCCUGAGAGGACCACCUGUUGCGAAGGCGCCACACUAGAACGGAUCCGACGGUCAGGGACGAAACCUAGGGGCACGAACCGGAUUAGAUACCCGGGUAGUCCUAGGUGUAAACGCUGUGGACUUGAUGUUGGGGGCGCUCCGAGCGCUCUCAGUGUCGAAGCGAAGGUGAUAAGUCCACUGCCUGGGGAGUACGGUCGCAAGGCUGAAACUUAAAGGAAUUGGCGGGGGAGCACUGCAACCUGAGGAUUGUGCGGUUUAAUUGGAUUCAACGCCGGAAAACUCACCAUGGCCGACGGACAAAUGAAAGCCAGUGUAACGAGCUUGCUGGAUUGUUCGAGAGGUAUUGCAUGGCCGUCGUCAGUUCGUACCGCAAGGCGUUCUGUUAAGUCAGAUAACGAACGAGACCCUCAUCCCUAUUUGCCAGCUGCGUCCCCGGACGCAACGCACUAUAGGGAGACCGCUGUCGAUAAGGCAGAUGAAGGCGAGGGCAACGGUAGGUCAGUAUGAUCCGAAUGCCAUGGGCUACACGCGCAAUACAAAGGACGGGACAAUGGGCUGCAACUCCGAGAGGAAAGACGCUAUCCCGAAACCCGUUCGUAGUUCGGAUUGAGGGCUGUAACUCGCCCUCAUGAAGCUGGAUUAGGUAGUAAUCGCGUCUCAAUAGGGCGCGGUGAAUAUGCCCCUGCUCCUUGCACACACCGCCCGUCAAACCAUCUUAGUUGGGGGUGGGUGAGGCUGCCUUAACCAUGGGGUAUUCGAGCCUGCCUUCGACAAGGAGGGUUAAGUCGUAACAAGGUAUCUGUAGGGGAACCUGCAGAUG
rnacentral:rRNA from 1 species